GACUGAGACACGGCCCAAACUCCUACGGGAGGCAGCAGUGGGGAAUAUUGGGCAAUGGGCGCAAGCCUGAUCCAGCCAUGCCGCGUGAGUGAUGACGGCCUUAGGGUUGUAAAGCUCUUUCGCUCGGGACGAUAAUGACGGUACCGAGAUAAGAAGCCCCGGCUAACUUCGUGCCAGCAGCCGCGGUAAUACGAAGGGGGCUAGCGUUGUUCGGAAUUACUGGGCGUAAAGCGCGUGUAGGCGGGUCUUUAAGUCAGGGGUGAAAUGCCAAGGCUCAACCUUGGAACUGCCUUUGAUACUGGAGAUCUUGAGUCCGGGAGAGGUGAGUGGAAUUGCGAGUGUAGAGGUGAAAUUCGUAGAUAUUCGCAAGAACACCAGUGGCGAAGGCGGCUCACUGGCCCGGAACUGACGCUGAGACGCGAAAGCGUGGGGAGCAAACAGGAUUAGAUACCCUGGUAGUCCACGCUGUAAACGAUGGAUGCUAGCCGUUGGGGAGCUUGCUCUUCAGUGGCGCAGCUAACGCUUUAAGCAUCCCGCCUGGGGAGUACGGUCGCAAGAUUAAAACUCAAAGGAAUGACGA
rnacentral:rRNA from 1 species